AGAAAAUAAGCCCAGCUGUUGAGAGGGUCAAAAUGUCAUAACAGUGCUGUGAAUUACCAGAUGCUAAUUCUUUUGUUGUACAUACUUACAAAAAAAAAUUGUAUUCUGUUGGUAACAACUUUUGUUUUAUUCGAUGCUAUAAGGGUCAUCAACAUGUGUCGCACGGCACACCCCCAAAACUCCCUCGAGAACUUAUCAAACUCUCCACAAACCGGAAUAUUCACAAAUGUAGCAUUAAUCCCUUGAAACGGCUGAGUUUGCACCAGGUCGAGUACAAACUCUAUCCCUUCAACAAAAUCGUCGAAGCCGUCGUCCUCUUCAAACAGAUUUAAGUUAACGUUCGGAAAGUCAAUUGGGUUAGACGAUUUUAAAGUAACGCUUCCCGAAAUUUCUGGUGAAGGAGAAUCAAACUGAACGAAACAUUAGACGAGGGGUUGAGAUUAUUUAGAUAGUUUUCUAUUAAGUUGUUGUUGUAGUUGUACAUUCUGGCCACGAUUGGACUGCUACUACCCGAAUGAGGACUAAAGGUGUACAUAACGGCUGGAGUACCGUCAGUAGUGUCUCCCUGGAGGAAGCCAAGAGCCUCGGUUGUUGAAGUAAGAGGACCUGAACCUUGCAAGUACUGCUCGAUGGAGUCAAGGAAGGUCAAACCCAGGAAUUGUGGGUGCUCCAUGAGGUUUUGACCCUUUGGGAAGUCAAUACCCAACUCUUCUAAGUGCUUUGACUGUCCUAUGCCUGAAAGAAUUAGAAGUUGUGGAGUGUUAAUGGCACUUGCAGCCACAAGCACUUCUUUGUUUGCACUAACCCGAAAUUUUUGGUCUUUGGUUGCAAACGCCACCCCUUGAACGCGCUUCGUUGCUUCAUCGAUAUUAACUCUAGUGACCAGAGCUACAGUGAUUACUUCAAGGUUGCUCCUUUUUCUGGCGUUAUCCGGAAUGCCGUCCCCUCGCUUUGCCACUUUUUAUUUAACUUAAAAAUUCCCUGCCGAUUUUUGCUAUAUUUUUAUACGAGCCUCUUCAGCAAUAAUUCAAGAAAUACGAUGCGCAACACGCAGGUUUACACCUCGCAGAAUUUCAGCAUCUGCAUGCCGUGCGUUUUGUACCAUUUCCCGGCGUUGUUUGAUUGUAGUACUCGUGAGUUAAUUUUAAUUGUUUUGUUGAAUCAUGCUACCUUUUUUAUCCUGUUUAAAAAAAUGGGACCAGCCAGCUUUGCCCCCUACGAUUGUAAAACAAGAACUUCUAAAAUCUAUCAGCGACACUUUUUUGCCGUUUCAAAGCAUUCACGUGUAUGAAAUAAUUCCAAAAGAAAAACAGGCCGAGGAUGAGCCAUGUGGUUGGGUGGUGAAAUGUCGUCACAACUUUGAGAGCGAAGAUUAUGAGGAGGUUGGACUACAACAGUAUGCGUACGGAUUACUCAACAAGUACAAGCCCCAAAAUACCAAAAAUUUUGAGGUAGUAGUCCUUGAUGCGAAUCGAUUUAACGUUACAUACACCCUUGAAUGUGGCUGCUAAUUGAUAAAUUCUUGAAUACAUCCAAUAGUGUGAUAGCUGCCUGAUAAUUUUGUAUUUUUUUUGUAACGAGUUUUUCAUUGUAGUUUUUAUCACU